AGAAACUUAGGCUAACAAUUUAAACCAAGAGCCUUCAAAGCUCAAAAUACAAGGUUAUCCCUUGUAGUUUCU
rnacentral:tRNA from 1 species